AUACGUAGGGAGCAAGCGUUGUCCUGAAUCAUUGGGCGUAAAGCGCGUGUAGGCGGCUUGGUAAGUCUGCUCUGAAAGCCCGGGGCUCAACCCCGGGAGGCGGGUGGAUACUGCUGAGCUCGAGUCCGGAAGAGGCGAGGGGAAAUCCCGGUGGAGCGGGGAAAUGGGCAGAUAUAAGGAGGAACGACGAUGGCGAAGGCAGCUCGCUGGGACGGUACUGACGCUGAGACGCGAAAGCGUGGGGAGCAAACAGGAUUAGAUACCCUGGUAGUCCACGCCGUAAACGAUGGGCACUAGGUGUGGGGGGUGUCGACUCCCUCCGUGCCGAAGCUAACGCAUUAAGUGCCCCGCCUGGGGAGUACGGCCGCAAGGCUAAAACUCAAAUGAAUUGACGGGG
rnacentral:rRNA from 1 species